CCGAAUGGGGAAACCCACCUUCACCAUUUCUUUCACUCUGCGUUCGCGCAGGCUGAGAGAGGUGGAUAAGGUAUCACCUUAGUGAAUAUAUAGCUUUGGUGAAGCGAACCCGGGGAACUGAAACAUCUCAGUACCCGGAGGAAAAGAAAUCAACCGAGAUUCCCGUAGUAGUGGCGAGCGAACCGGGACCAGGCCAGUGCCUUGUCGUAAAUUAGCAGAACAUUCUGGAAAGUUUGACCAUAGUGGGUGACAGUCCCGUAUGCGAAAAUGAUCGACAAGGACUUGAGUAGGGCGGGACACGUGAAAUCCUGUCUGAACGUGGGGGGACCACCCUCCAAGCCUAAAUACUCGUACAUGACCGA
rnacentral:rRNA from 1 species